AGUGAACGCUGGCGGUAGGCCUAACACAUGCCAGUCGGACGGCAGCACAGUAAGAGCUUGCUCUUACGGGUGGCGAGUGGCGGACGGGUGAGGAAUACAUCGGAAUCUACUUUUUCGCGGGGGAUAACGUAGGGAAACUUACGCUAAUACCGCAUACGACCUACGGGUGAAAGCAGGGGAUCUUCGGACCUUGCGCGAUUGAAUGAGCCGAUGUCGGAUUAGCUAGUUGGCGGGGUAAAGGCCCACCAAGGCGACGAUCCGUAGCUGGUCUGAGAGGAUGAUCAGCCACACUGGAACUGAGACACGGUCCAGACUCCUACGGGAGGCAGCAGUGGGGAAUAUUGGACAAUGGGCGCAAGCCUGAUCCAGCCAUACCGCGUGGGUGAAGAAGGCCUUCGGGUUGUAAAGCCCUUUUGUUGGGAAAGAAAAGCAGCAGGUUAAUACCCCGCUGUUCUGACGGUACCCAAAGAAUAAGCACCGGCUAACUUCGUG
rnacentral:rRNA from 1 species